AUAUAGCUCAGUUGGUUAGAGCAUGGUGCUGGCAGUGCCAAGGUUGCAGGUUCAAUCCCCCGUUAGGACUG